rnacentral:lncRNA from 1 species
CUCGAGCUCGGCUCGAAUUAAUUUCAAUCCAAGCUUGAGCUUAAAUUUAGGCUCGAAAUUAAUUUCAAGCCGUAUUUGAGCCGAGGUAGGCUCGCUCGAGCUCGGCUCGAAUUAAUUUCAAUCCAAGCUUGAGCUUAAAUUUAGGCUCGAAAUUAAUUUCAAGCCGUAUUUGAGCCGAGGUAGGCUCGCUCGAGCUCGGCUCGUUUCCACCCCUAACUAUAUACCUAGCGAACCCACAUAUAGCAAUACUUUUUAAAAGUGUCGGUAAUUUAGCCAACAACACUUUUUUUGAUCUGUACCGACAUAUAAAAGUGUCGGUAUAGACCGUUUUUGUUGUAGUGUUUGUUUUUUUAGCUUAAAUUUAAAUUAUAAUACAUGAUCUCAUUAUUUAAAAAAAUUAAUUUUUACUAUUAAAAUUUGAUUAAAUUUAGCUUGUAUAAUUUUAUUCUAAAAAUAAAUUUGAAUUAUACCCUAUGAUCCUAUUAACUCAAAUAUUUUUAUUUUCCUAUUAUAUAUAUAUAUAUAUAUAU